AACAAGGUCUCCGUUGGUGAACCAGCGGAGGGAUCAUUACCGAGUGUAAAAACUCCCAAACCAUUGUGAACUUACCACUGUUGCUUCGGCGGCCUCGCCCCGGGCGCGUUCGCGCGGCCCGGACCCAGGCGUCCGCCGGAGGCUCCAAACUCUUGUCUUUUAGUGUAUUUCUGAGUGGCAUAAGCAAAUAAAUCAAAACUUUCAGCAACGGAUCUCUUGGUUCUGGCAUCGAUGAAGAACGCAGCAAAAUGCGAUAAGUAAUGUGAAUUGCAGAAUUCAGUGAAUCAUCGAAUCUUUGAACGCACAUUGCGCCCGCCAGUAUUCUGGCGGGCAUGCCUGUCUGAGCGUCAUUUCAACCCUCAGGACCCGUUCGCGGGACCUGGCGUUGGGGAUCAGCCUGCCCCUGGCGGCGGCUGGCCCUGAAAUCCAGUGGCGGUUCCCUCGCGAACUCCUCCGUGCAGUAAUUAAACCUCUCGCGGCAGGAUAGCGGUUGGACCACGCCGUUAAACCCCCCACUUCUCAAGGUUGACCUCAGAUCAGGUAGGAAUACCCGCUGAACUUAAGCAUAUCAAUAAACA
rnacentral:rRNA from 1 species